AAGGUCCCAAGGGUUGGGCUGUUCGCCCAUUAAAGUGGCACGCGAGCUGGGUUCAGAACGUCGUGAGACAGUUCGGUCCCUAUCUGUUGUGGGCGCUGGAGAUUUGAGAGGACCUGACGCUAGUACGAGAGGACCGCGUUGGACUGACCGCUAGUGUACCUGUUGUGGCGCCAGCUGCAUUGCAGGGUAGCUAUGUCGGGAUGAGAUAAGCGCUGAAAGCAUCUAAGCGCGAAGCUCACCUCAAGAUGAGAUCUCCUUUAAGGGCCGUAGGAGACUACUACGUUGAUAGGCUGCAGGUGUAAAGGCGGUAACGUCAAAGCCGAGCAGUACUAAUUGCCCGAAGACUUUCAGU
rnacentral:rRNA from 1 species